rnacentral:rRNA from 1 species
CACGUAGGCACCAAGCGUUGUCCGGAUUUAUUGGGCGUAAAGAGCUCGUAGGCGGUUCGGUAAGUCGGGUGUGAAAACUUUGGGCUCAACCCAAAGCCUGCACUCGAUACUGCUGUGACUUGAGUCCGGUAGGGGAGUGGGGAAUUCCUGGUGUAGCGGUGAAAUGCGCAGAUAUCAGGAGGAACACCGGUGGCGAAGGCGGGUCUCUGGGCCGAUACUGACGCUGAGGAGCGAAAGCGUGGGGAGCGAACAGG